rnacentral:rRNA from 1 species
GUAGGUGGCAAGCGUUGUCCGGGAAUUAUUGGGGCGUAAAGCGCGCGCAGGCGGUUCUUUAAGUCUGAUGUGAAAGCCCACGGGCUCAACCGUGGAGGGUCAUUGGAAACUGGAGAACUUGAGUACAGAAGAGGAAAGCGGAAUUCCACGUGUAGCGGUGAAAUGCGUAGAGAUGUGGAGGAACACUAGUGGCGAAGGCGGCUUUCUGGUCUGUAACUGACGCUGAGGCGCGAAAGCGUGGGGAGCAAACAGGAUUAGAUACCCUGGUAGUCCACGCCGUAAACGAUGAGUGCUAAGUGUUAGGGGGUUUCCGCCCCUUAGUGCUGCAGCUAACGCAUUAAGCACUCCGCCUGGGGAGUACGGCCGCAAAGGCUG